rnacentral:rRNA from 1 species
ACGAACGCUGGCGGCGUGCUUAACACAUGCAAGUCGAACGGAAAGGCCCUGCUUUUGUGGGGUGCUCGAGUGGCGAACGGGUGAGGAACACGUGAGUAACCUGCCCUUGACUUUGGGAUAACUUCAGGAAACUGGGGCUAAUACCGGAUAGGAGCUCCUGCUGCAUGGUGGGGGUUGGAAAGUUUCGGCGGUUGGGGAUGGACUCGCGGCUUAUCAGCUUGUUGGUGGGGUAGUGGCUUACCAAGGCUUUGACGGGUAGCCGGCCUGAGAGGGUGACCGGCCACAUUGGGACUGAGAUACGGCCCAGACUCCUACGGGAGGCAGCAGUGGGGAAUAUUGCACAAUGGGCGGAAGCCUGAUGCAGCAACGCCGCGUGCGGGAUGACGGCCUUCGGGUUGUAAACCGCUUUCGCCUGUGACGAAGCGUGAGUGACGGUAAUGGGUAAAGAAGCACCGGCUAACUACGUG